rnacentral:tRNA from 1 species
GCCUCGGUAAGUCUAAUUGGCUAGGACACUUGCGCGUAAAGCAAAAGGUGUCCGGGUUCAACUCCCAGCCGAGGUA